GAUACAGGAAUAAUAGGUAGAUGAGGGCCCUGCUAAAACUAGUUUAAAGUCUAGAGGAGGUGGGGUACAAGUACACAACAGGGCAGCAAGGGUGACAGCCACCAAACAAGGUGGAAAAGUGUCAGAACUGGAGGUGAGAGUGGAGUAUGGCUCUUUAGGAGAGAAAGAGACAGACAUGGAUAGGUACAGAUAAGUUACUCAGGGAGUCCAUUAACAUUUCUAACAUAUGUGUUUUGAGGGACGUUUUAAUAAAAAAUGAAGACUAUGAGAUAGUCUGAUGGGGGUAGGCAGGCUGUUCCAAAUUAAGGUAGCCACCCACGAGAAGUCCUGCAAGCGCGAGUUAGCA